rnacentral:rRNA from 1 species
UACGUAGGUGGCAAGCGUUGUCCGGAAUUAUUGGGCGUAAAGCGCGCGCAGGUGGUUGAAUAAGUCUGAUGUAAAAGCCCAUGGCUCAACCAUGGAAGGUCAUUGGAAACUGUUAAACUUGAGUGCAGGAGAGAAAAGUGGAACUCCUAGUGUAGCGGUGAAAUGCGUAGAGAUUAGGAGGAACACCAGUGGCGAAGGCGGCUUUUUGGCCUGCAACUGACGCUGAGGCGCGAAAGCGUGGGGAGCAAACAGG